rnacentral:rRNA from 1 species
AUGGUGGCACACUUGGUGUGCCCAUGCCAUCAGUCUCAAGCAUUGGGUGUAGAAGUUCUCCGCCAACCUGAAGUGUGUGUGCAUGCUGAUCGGUCUCAAGCGUUGGCUGUAGAAGUUCUCUGCCAAUCCGUCCAUACAUGCCACAGAUUACUUCAAUCUGAAGGCGUCAUGAUUGUCAUUUGGCACCCUUUGUGGAGGAGGACAACGACCAGGGCAUCCAUGGUCGAGAGCUCGGCUCCUUGGGUUCACACAAAGAGACGCAGCAGGCUGGUGCAUGACAAGAUGAGUGACCUUGUUUUCAUCAAGUUCAACUCCAAACUGAAGGACAAGAAACUAAACAAACUCAAGGACCCCAUUGAGAAGCAGGUGGUAGAUGUUUUAGAAGAUGAUGAGAAUGAAUGGAUCACUGGUGUGGUGCCUAAUGGUGAUGAAGAACAAGUUGAAGGUGAAGAUCAAGAUCAAGAAAUUCCAUAUGCAAGCUCGCAUGCUGGACCAGGAACUUCUGCUAUUAAUCCCCUUAAAAGGAAGAGGGGUGUCUAUGGUAAGAAGAAGAAGAUGAUGAUCCCUGUUACUCCUCAAGAAGAUCUGCUCUCUGCUUCCUCUGCUUCAGAAAGUGACGACGACGAGGACACCAACAUGAGUUCUGGUUCUGACAUGUGA